CAGGUUGCAUUACGUCAAAAAAAUCAGAAUUGGGUCACUUCAGGCUGCAGUGUGAACGCACCCUUAGUGUCGGCACGCAAACCCGUUGAUAUGACAACCGACACGGAAUCUUCGUUAACCUGCAGAACAGAGAGUAAUAUGUUGACCACAAUGUCCUGCACUUCCUGCUUUUGAGACUGUCUCUAGUCAGGUUGCUUUCAGACAGGUUUUCUACCGUUUUAGAGUCCACUUCAACUGUUCUAAGGACUAGGUUUUCAGUCGGACUAGAGUUCGGUUUUAAGUUCGUUUUGGAAUUCAAAUUUACAUUCAGACCUCCCCAAAAACUCGGAAUUCCUAGACAAACGGGUUAGAUUCUCAUUCAGGAAUAUAAUCCUGGGUUGGUCUAAAGUCCACCUGACAAAUUGGACAAAUUCGUUCAUAUACCACUUCUGUUUUCUGAAAGCAUUUAAAUCUGAAUCUGAGCUGUUUGGAAUUUGGUUAAAUAACAGCAUAAUCAGGGUCCAAUAAUAUAAUGGUUUCAAAAGAGCUGGCAAAUGUCAGGUUCCAAAUGCAAUGUCAUGACAUCUUUAUGUCAUGAUCUAAAUAUUUACAAACUCUGUUUCUACUGUCCAAAUUUCCUAAAAACUGUGAAAUAACCCCUUAGUUCAGUGAUAUUAGGACGUUGUGAGCCAGAGGCGUUAAGUCUUAAUGACUUAAAGGCAAGCUUCAUCCUCACACAGCACUCCUCUCCUCUCAGUUUCCCCAGACUAGUGGCAGCAGCCAUUAGCAAACACCUGGUGGAUCUGCAAGUCUGCUGAGCUCAUCAGUCAAACUACUUCUCAGUCCAACGCUCCUAAGAACGCUGUAAACGGCUUAAUGGAGAAACGUGAUUCUGAUGACAGGCUGAAACCGAGCUGCCUCUUCAGGAGCAAAAAAAGACAUCAAAUUAAUAAGACCUACUGUGCUUCCAUUUCGCAACAUCUUGUACCACAUCAUCCUGUUACUGCUAUGCAGUUCCACAUUAGUGUUUCUGAAUCCAACUGGACAUACCAUCAGGCUGGUUACUAACAUAUUUCCAUCAAGGAGACAAAGCAGCUGGUUGCACAUGCUUCCACAUGUUUCCACAUGUUUGCUGUUCUCCAUGGAUUACAAGCUCCAAGCUUAACAACCCAGAGAUUUGUUAAAAGUUUCUUUUGUUGUUAAAAGUUUCUUUUAACAACAGGUUUCUUCCUGCCUCUUCUCAGAGUUUUGUAGAGUGCAUCACUCACUGUUGUUCACAAAUUAAUGUUUUGAUUUGGUCUGUCACUUUAGAUUUCUAGCCAAGUCUUGGUAGAUUUUCAGUUGUUUUUUGGAUGAAGGAGUGAAAAGUUGUGGGAGAUAUUCCAAUCUUUGGAUUGCGUUUACGUUCCCCAGAACUUUCUCCCUGAUAUGUUUGUUGAGUUUCUUGGUCUUCAUAUUGCUGUUCGUUCACUAAUGUUCUCAAAUAAACC